UAAUUUAUCCUCGGUUUUCCUGGCAAAACUGAACCACCCACUGCCACAACGUAGUUUUAAAACACAUUGAUUUUGAUAGCAUGAGGGGAAAGGGAUGCGGCGAGUGCGCAAGCGCGUUACCAGGCUCCCAGUGCUAUACUGGCUUCUUUAUGAAAUAAAGGAUAAAAAGCCCAACCCACCCUAUUUCUGUGAACAGACACACAGCACACACCUGCGAGCAGGGUUUUGCUAUUUCAUAUUCCAGAUUUCCUUCAUCGUAUCAGUGAUUACAGCAUCCUGCAGCCCUAUUUCCUGAAAAUUACCAAUUUUCACCCAGAUUUGGCUUUGAGUGGUUAAAGUUAUAUCUUUAUUUUGAUGAAAUGUCCAGUAAAGCAGUGUGAGCGAGAUGUUUUACUGAAAUAAAAACGUGGAUAUUUUUCGAAGAGGUUAUCCCCUUUGUCAAGGAGGAUUAUUGAUGUCUGGAAUUUAUCACUGGGGGAAAAAAAGUGGAGAAGGAAGGGGAAUAAAUAUGUAUAUAAUAAUAUAUACUUUAAUUCUCCGUGCUGCUAAACUUUCCCUCACAGCCAGGCUGGGGAAUAUGCUUUAAUCUCAUUUAUUGGAUUGCUUCAUCUGAGUAUGUUGCUUUUUAUUUUAUUGUUUGUUUGUUUUUUUGCUGAGGCGAUGGGGCUCUAGGCGGGGAGUUAAGCACGAAGGGAUUCGUGAGGAAAAAGAGAAACUCCUGAAGAAAAAAAAAGAUAAAACGAAGAGGAAAAGGAAGGUUUUGGGUGACAAAAGGCGGCGCCGGCCGGGGCUGCCCCUCACGGCCCCUCAGGCGCUGCCCCCCCGCGCUCGCUUCACAAAAUGGCCGCCCGGCGGGGCCGCGGGAGCGGCUCUGAGGCGACAAAAUGGCGGCGGGCGGAAAGCGGGGGGAAGGACGGGCGAGGAGCGGUGUGGGCACAGCGGAGGGCUCUGAUGCUGUGGGAAUCCCCUCCGGGCGGGCGGCGAAAGCGCUGCGGGUGAAACCUGACCUUCUUCUUAUCCCCCCCUCCCUCCUGCCCUUUUCUCCUGGCCGCCUUUGCGAAAAGAUGUGAAAAUGGCCAGAAAUGCGCAUUUUUAUUCGGCCAUGGCGGAGCCGCCGGUUUUUUCCCUCACCUCAGCUCGCCCCCGCUCCCCCAAUUAUACCCCUAAAAUAUUAUUUCUUUUUCCCUCACAGCUGAGCGGUUUUGGCCCUGUAUUGCGCUUUCCACAUGCCCCCCCCCCUCCACCCCUCCCUUCAUCAUCACCACACACACACCCCCCAAAGCUGGGUAGUUUUAUGCCUAAUUCUUCGCUUUUCCACCGCUUUUCUCCUUCGCAGGGGUUGAAGCCGCCAUCUCCCGGUCUCCUCACGGCAUGGAAAAUCCCCAAAAGUGCUUAAGGAAAAAAAAAAAAAAAACACACCACCAAAAAAAAGUCCCAAACGCAGGAGGAUUGAUUUAUCAUCGCAGCCGGAGUGGAAUGGGAAGAAGCCAUCGCUGCUCGCCUGCUCCCCACGACAGCUCGCCCGCCAUUCGCUUAAUUAAAAUCAUAUAUUGGUGUGAUGAGACGUGGUAAUACCAUUAAAAAAACCCAAAUCCCGUAACAUCCACACGCUGGUUGUUGGAGGCUGUAGCCCAGUGCUGGAAUCUGCAUUGGCAGGUGUGCAAAUGUGGAGACUGUAAAAGCAGCAAGUGAGGAUGGAUGAGCUGUUUUCUGGGGUCAUAUCCAACUCCAGAGAAGAAACCCUGGUGAUUUAUAAUUUUUUUCUUGUCUCUGAGCUGAUAACCACAGACCUGGUGCUGGUUUCUGCAGGUCACACACGGCUGGGAGAGGCAGCUUCCCGCAGUCAUUAGCACACAGGGAGUGCUGGGGGGUCGUUAAAUGAGGAUAUCACAUCGGGAUUCCAUGCAUGCCGCUGCCUGACCCGGCCCUGGAGAAGCCCCUCAGGAGAAAUUAUUUCACUUGACUGGUUGCUGCAGGGAUUUCUAGCACAGCUAUGGUGUUAUCCUUGUUUUUGGCCAAAAUGAAGUGCAGGGUGGGGAUGAGGUGGCCAGGCCGGGUUUCAUACCCUGCUCCCUGUGGUAGGUGUGUGAACAGUGUGCCCAAAGCCUUGUUUGGAAUAAGGCAGUGUGGACAGGGGUUUGGGUUUUAUUCCCUCAUUGGGGCUGUGCUGGUUUGGAGAUGCACCUUGUACUCUUCAUGGGCCUUUGCUGGCAGGGAGGUUUGGAGGAGCAAGAAGCUGCCUGUUGGGAUGAUUCCACAUUUUUCAGGCUGGCACACCCUGUGGGACUCCAAAUUACUUUCCUUUGGCAGUUUAGCAUAAACUGAGAAUUGCCUUGUGAGCACUGAACUUUUACCACCCUGCAGAGUUACUCGAGCUACAUCCAUGAUAUUUCCAAGCUAAACAAAACCUGAAUUUCCAGUGCCAAAAAGCGAUACAAACCUCCACUCCUCCUCUGUUCAGGAGAAAACCACAGUCUUUCAAGCUCUGCUCUUAGCCCAAGGAGUUAAAAAGCUGCACUGUGAGAUCUGCAGAGGUGAAAAUAAAAGCCAAAGGCAGAUGAGGAACUUCUCCCAUGCCGUGUUGGAGGAGAGGCUGUAGAGCACAGCAGGUGUUGAUGCACAAAUAUUUCUCUUUGUGCUUUCUCUGGAGUGAAGGAGUGGUAACUCCACAGACAUGGGGUCACUCCCCUUCAUUUAAACACCCUCAUGUUGCUGUGGUAUCAAAAUGGUGUUUGAUGAAACCAAAGCUCAGAUGGUGGUGGCUUGGAGUUUAUUUUGUGCUGCUCAAUCCAAUGCAGAACGUGGGGAGAGCAGCCUGUAGCUUGCAGGUUUGGACUGUGGGGCUGGUGCUAAAGCCUUGUCCUGUAACAUUUCCAGUGUAAUUUCUGAGAUUUUUUUUUUUUCUCCUGGGCAUUGCACACCGGUAAAAAUCACAUCUGGAUGUAGAUUUAAUACAACAAUUAAGUGUUAAAAAUGGCAAAGUAUAGGAUUCUGUGAUCUAACCAGUCCUAGGGGAUUUACAUCCUUUGCAGUUGUCCUGUUUGGGUAUCAAAUCACAUAGAACUGUCUUUUUUAUGUUUAUUUUCUUUGGCUUUCCCUUAAAAUGCGAUCUUUUGCAGCCUGGAUGGCCACAGUCCUGUCUAGUGAUGAAAGCCCUGUGUUUGGGGAGAACCCUUGUGAGGUGAGCAGACACAGCUCUCUGGCACAGGAGUUUGGGAGCAAGGGGAAGCAGGACAGAAGCUGGCACUGUGAUAUUCCUGUGAUUUUUUAUUUUUUCCAGCAGGCUAUAAAAAGGUAUUCUUUUUAAUAUUUCUUUCUACCACACCAUAAGCAAGAGUAACUCUUUUGCAAAUGCUUUGUUGUCACGUCGGUUUUGAUAACAUGGCUUAACCAUCACACUGGGUUCUGCUGCUGAAGAAACCUCUUUUUUUAGAAGGAAUUUUAAAAACAGAAAUGUGCUUUUAUAUAGAGAUAAAAGUGGGUUCAAUGUCAACUGAAGGCCAGGGGCCCCUGUAUCCUGGGCUGUGGGACGUGGCUGUGUUAAACCACUGGCUAAAAUGGCGGCAUUUUGUGGCAGCUCCUGUCCCUGGCAUCGUGGAUAAGAACACCACAGGGAAGAGAGUCAGAAAAUAAAUUACUAAAUGCUGCAUUUCAAAAACAUGAAGGGAGUUUUCUGCACAAAGUCAUCUCAUCAGGAAGAUUUGGAGCUCUAACCCUCAAAAAGAACUGAAAUCAAGAGGUUUAUUAAUAUAAAUCCUGUGCUUUGUGUUGUUAAGGCUCCAGAAACCAGCUCUGUGCUCCACUGUUUUCAGCCCCUGAGCCCAUAGCCUCUGUCUUGGCAACAAAUGGGCCUAAAUAUCAAACAGCACCAAUUCCUUCUUGGAGAAAACGAGCAUAAAGCAGAAUGGGUAAGCUAUAAAAUUAGGCCAAUAAUUCAGGCUGGCUUAAAAAGGAGAUAAAAGCCUAGCUGGGAAUUUGAUAUUCAGCUGUCAUAGCGUUCUUUUAAUAAAUUCUAUCAAUGAGCAAGGAAGACCUGUAAAUACAUUUUAUCCUGACAAGAUGGUGGCUGGAGCUGGCUGGCUCAAACAAAGGAACACCCUGAGUGUUUCUUGGGGCUCUUUGCUGGGAAACCUCCUGCUUUUUUACAGAAAGGAACCGGCUGUGCACUGGUGGUGGGGAGAACCCUCAUGUUCCCACUGAGAUCCCCGUGAAUCCCAGCUGAUGUAGCCAGGGAGCAGUGCAGUGUCCCCCUUUCCCAGCACACCACACAGAGAUGUUGCUGAGCCAGACCUGAGGGUAGGAAAUGAUGGUCAGAGCCAACAAGUCCUGCUUGCUGUCCUUGUCCAGCAGCUAAUCUUUGCUUUUUGGGACGUUUGCUGAGCGGUCUCAGCGAUGCGUGGCAGCUCCGCCGCUCGGGAAAGGCGCCGCGUUCAAAAUGGAUAAACCUGCCUUUUGAAGCAUUGUGUCUGCCCACUUGUAUUUAUUGGUUUUUCCUCCUCAAAGAGAGGCUGCUGUGUGGACCCCAAGGAUGUUUUCCGCUUCUCCUGCCUUUUUUUUCCCCUUCAAACUGGAGAGCUGCUAACUUUAUUAGCUCCUUAUAUGGCAGCCCCAUUUUCUCACGCCUUUAAUGGCUCUCUUUUGAUCUGUCCUGUUCUUGCCUUGCUUUUCCUGACAUGAACGUGGUGUUCAAGCUGAGAUGGGUUUAUAACCUGCUCCCUCACUAAUAAAUGGCCUGGCACUUUAAUCCUCUCCAAGCACUGAUAAGAAACAUCCAAAUGUUUUAACUGUGGGGCUGGCUGAGUUGUCUGUAGAUAGCCGACUCUCAGCUACACCCUCCCAGGAGUAAUUUAAAUUGUUCCUUGCAGUGUGUAUCCCAAAGGCCGAGGGUCAUGGAGAGCAGCUCAGCUCCCCUUGUCCUGAGCUGUUUGGCCGCUGGGAAGGGCAGCACACAGGGCAGUGCAGCCAUGUCUCACCCUUGGGUGCUCCUCAUGCUGUUUCUCACGGAGGACACUGGGCUGGCACAAAUGCGUGUCCUGCAGACACAAGGAUGGUGUUGGUCCUUCAUCACAGCCCCUCUGACCUGCUCAGGGCAGAGUUGUACCUGCUCUGCUCUCCAGCCUGGGUCUGUGUUCUUUAAAAUCUUCGACUGAGCUGGGGGGAUCUGGUUACAGCAGCAUCGCUGGUGUGGUUGCAACCAGGAACAGCUUCCCUGCAAAGCAUUUGAAGAGUAUCACCAUGGUCCAGAGCUUUGUUUUGCAUCACCAGCCGAGCUUUUUGCUGCUCUUCCAGCUGGCUGUUGUGUAAAUGGAGCCCUCCUGGCACUCAUCUCAGCCCUCUCCUGUCAACAGAGUCGAUGGCUUUGUUUGUGACAGCUCCCAGCCCCUGCGUGUCCUGUGCGAUGGCCGGGUGACAGCAGUGACUCCGUGUGAGAUUCCCUGGAAGCACCUGGGAGCUGCUGUGGUUUCCUCGUGUCCCUUGGAGGUGCCACCCCAGCAGGGAGGAAGAGCAGUUGGGAUUGCAGCUGCAGCAAAUGCACCCCAUCAGAGAAAGAGAUUUUGUCAUGGAAGAGCUGUUUGAUUUUUUGGUGGUUUUCUGGUUUGGGUUUUUCCUCUCCGAAAUGGAGAGCCCCUUAAAGGUAGAGACAGGUACAAACUGCUCCUUGGGCUUCCCAUCAGGUAAAGAAAUGGAAAGCUGAGCCCAGCUCCUCACUGGAAGUGCGGGUGGAGUGUGUUGGCAACGCAUUUUCUUGUGUGCACGUGGCUCCAUCACAGGUUUUGAAUAAUAGAUGGUUUGCAUGCAAGGAGUCGUCGGGGUUUUUAAUUAAUCAGUAGAUCUCAGUUUGGCAGAGCCCAUCAUCACUGGGGAAACUGAGGCACGGGGCUGCCAAAGGAUGGGCUUGCAGCCACUGGAGCCGGGGAUAAGGCUCGGGGCCACCACAGAUGGAGUCCGUGUGCGUCAGAGACGUGAUUAAAUCAGGAGAUUUGCAUGUUUGUUAAGCCACUACAGCUCGGUGACUUUGACCAGUAGCAAGGUGGACUUGUUGCCGGAAGAUUGCGGUGUCCGGCUGGACUGGGUGGCAAAGGCAGCUCUGACCAAUAAAACACAGGCUUGAUCAAUACCAAAACGUCAUCAGGAGACUUUGGCCAUGGAAAAUACUGAAAUACAGGUUUGUUCUGUGGUGGAAGCGGUGGAGGCUUUAAACACCAACACUCCUGGCUGUGGGUGUGUGUUUUAUCCUGACCUCACAAUGGGAUCUAAUUUUCAUUUUGGGACAUAGAAAUAGGUGCUUUAUCAGUGCAGUGGCAUAUUUUUGGUGGAAAAGAUCUUGUGGGUUAAAAAACAUCUAGUUGUAUGUUGCAGAGCUGGGGUGUGACAUGUCAGACAACUAGAGAUGGGUGAUAUUGGCAAUGGGCAAUUUCUUCACCCUGUGUUAAUUAAGGAGCUGUGCCAGCCCCUGUGGGGGAGUGGAAGGUGAAUCCUUCCCACAGUGGGAGUUUUUCCUGUGUGGUUUUUGGGGCAGCCUGGUCUCCCUUCUGUUGGGGGAAAUAGAACUUGGGACACCCUGCUUGGGUGGAGGGAGUGUGCCAGGGUGCCACAUUGUCCCUGUGUCCCAGGGUGCCACAUUGUCCCUGUGUCCCAGGGUGCCACAUUGUCCCUGUGCCAGUGGAGGGGAGCACGCGGAGCAGCCAAGGGGGUUUGGAGAUCCCCCUGCAGCCCCACUCAGGCUUCCUGCUGCUCUGGCCUUUGGAGCCAUUGGACACCAGGGCAGCGUGGGGCCCUCCCUGCCAUCACCUCAAUUCACUUUUUACCUGUCUGCCCACUGGCCACGGCUGGGUGUGUGCUCACCUGGGGAUGAAGGUGGCUGGUGCCCCAGGAUUUUGGAAUCCUUAUGGGAUUAGGGGGAGCUGUAGGUUUGGGGGUCAGCAGGACCUUGCCCUUGCAGUGCAACCCGUUCUGUCUCUCACAGUUCCCCCGUUCCAACUCCCCCAGCCCCUUUUCUCACAGCCCCACCACGACUCCCAGAGCACCCAUACAUUUCCCACAGCCCCUCAUCACAAUUCUCACGGAGCCUGGUACCUCUCUCACAGCCCCAUUACAAUUUUCAAAGCCCCUGUAAUGAUCCUCACAGCCCCCCAGUAAGACUCUCAGAGCCCCCCUCGUUGUCUUGCAAUCCCCAAUUGUGUCUGAGUCUCCCACUGUUUCACAAUCCUAAUUCUCCC